AGGAAUACAUUACCAGAAUGCCAGACAGAGAAAUGGGACUGAUUCAAGUGUUGCUCAUUGGAGAACAGCAGAAAUCUGAGGUCUGUGCAGGCAGGAACAACUUCUUGGAGAAGAUUACAGAACUCCCCACACCAGAUGGGACUCACCCCUUUUGAAGUCGUUUGGUUCACCUACUGACAGAAGUCCACCUCCGGAGCUCCACCAGCCUUAGCCAGGAGAUUGGGCCCUAGCCAAGAGACACUGCCAGGGGUCACUAGAGCUUCAGCGAAAGGGGCCCUGUGCUACAGAGUUCAGCAUGGAUCCACCACACAUCUGUUUGUAGUUUAAGAAGACUCUGGCCAGCAGGAGGAGAAUUCAGCCUCAAGACUCCCUCCUGUCUCCCACUGAUGGGCCCCCCUACCCAUGCCCCAGGGACACCACAAAGACAUAACCCUGUUACUGUUUUCUUGAAGCUUCAGAAAGUCCCAUAAUUGGGACUUCUAGUAACAAGAGAAAGGGAGGAUGAGAUGCCAAAUCUUUUAAGUUCAGACUCCGCUUUAGAGAACCUGACUUAAGUUUGAACUCAGGUAAACUAACAGGC